rnacentral:rRNA from 1 species
CCCUUAGAUGUCCUGGGCCGCACGCGUGCUACACUGACGCCUACAGCGAGUACUUCCCAGCCCCGAGAGGUGGCUGGUAAUCAGCAAUAGGCGUCGUGAUGGGGAUAGAUCUUUGGAAUUAUGGAUCUUGAACGAGGAAUGCCUAGUAAGCGCAGGUCAUUAGCCUGCGCUGAUUAAGUCCCUGCCCUUUGUACACACCGCCCGUCGCUCCUACCGAUUUCGAGUGGUCCGGUGAAUCUUUCGGACUGCGCGCGGCCUCGUGCCGUGCCGCGGAAAGUCAGGUAAACCUUAUCACUUAGAGGAAGGAGAAGUCGUAACA